GGCCUUUUGUAUUUAAUUUAAGGUCUGACCUGCCCAGUGAUAAAUUUAACGGCCGCGGUAUCUUGACCGUGCAAAGGUAGCAUAAUCAUUAGUCUUUUAAUAGAGGGCUGGAAUGAACGGUUUAACGAGGGACUAGCUGUCUCAUUUUAUUUGUUUUAAAAUUUAAUUUUUUAGUUAAAAAGCUAAAAUUUUAUUGGUAGACGAGAAGACCCUAUAGAUCUUCAUAUAAUUUUUUGUAUUUAUUUUUAUAUUAACAUAAUUAUAUUAAAAUUUUAUUUUGUUGGGGUGACAAAAAUAUACAUAUAACUUUUUUAUUUAUUUACCAUUGAUAUAUGAGUAUUAGAUCCAUUAUUAUUGAUUGUUAGAAUAAGUUACCUUAGGGAUAACAGCGUAAUCCUCCUCCAGAGUUCAUAUUUACAGGAGGGCUUGCGACCUCGAUGUUGGAUUAAGAUAAUAAUUAGGUGUAGCCGCUUAAUUUAUAGGUCUGUUCGACCUUUAAAUUCUU
rnacentral:rRNA from 1 species